rnacentral:rRNA from 1 species
UGAGUAACCUGCCCUUAACUCUGGGAUAAGCCUGGGAAACUGGGUCUAAUACCGGAUAUGACUCCUCAUCGCAUGGGUGGGGGGUGGAAAGCUUUAUUGUGGUUUUGGAUGGACUCGCGGCCUAUCAGCUUGUUGGUGAGGUAAUGGCUCACCAAGGCGACGACGGGUAGCCGGCCUGAGAGGGUGACCGGCCACACUGGGACUGAGACACGGCCCAGACCUCCGUACGGGGAGCAG